CCUACGGGGGGCAGCAGUGGGGAAUAUUGCACAAUGGGGGAAACCCUGAUGCAGCGACGCCGCGUGAGUGAAGAAGUAUCUCGGUAUGUAAAGCUCUAUCAGCAGGGAAGAAGAAAGACGGUACCUGACUAAGAAGCCCCGGCUAACUACGUGCCAGCAGCCGCGGUAAUACGCAGGUGGCAAGCGUUAUCCGGAUUUACUGGGUGUAAAGGGAGCGUAGACGGCUGUGCAAGUCUGAAGUGAAAGCCCAGGGCUCAACCCUGAGACUGCUUUGGAAACUGUGGAGCUAGAGUGCUGGAGAGGUAAGUGGAAUGCGUAGUGUAGCGGUGAAAUGCGUAGAUAUUAGGAAGAACCCCGAUGGCGAAGGCAGCUUACUGGACAGUAACUGACAUUGAGGCUCGAAAGCGUGGGGAGCAAACAGGAUUAGAUACCCUGGUAGUC
rnacentral:rRNA from 1 species